rnacentral:rRNA from 1 species
CAGCAGCCGCGGUAAUAUGAAGGGGGCUAGCGUUGUUCGGAUUUACUGGGCGUAAAGGGUGCGUAGGCGGAUUGUUAAGUCAGGGGUGAAAUCCCGAGGCUCAACCUCGGAACUGCCUUUGAUACUGGCGAUCUUGAGUCCGGGAGAGGUGAGUGGAACUGCGAGUGUAGAGGUGAAAUUCGUAGAUAUUCGCAAGAACACCGGUGGCGAAGGCGGCUCACUGGCCCGGUACUGACGCCGAGGCACGAAAGCGUGGGGAGCAAACAGGAUUAGAUACCCCCGUAGUCCCUGUCUCUUAUAC